AACCUAGUUUAACCACAGCUCCAUAGGCCAUGUGGCUCCAUUUCACAGAAGAGUGGAAUGGGAUUCCGAGGGGCUCUACUCACGGUGUCCCAUGGGGAGGACCUAACCUGCGGCACAGUGCCCGACGCCCUGCGGCACAGUGCCCGACGCCAAGCUGUUCCACAAGAGCAGCAGGGCAGAACACCAGUUGAGUGUCCCUUCCUGUGUGACGGUGCCUCGGGUCCUGGGCACUUGUGACAAGACACAGUGGCCUCGAGUCCGACUUCGUGGAAGUGCACUCCCGCCAUCGCUCCGAUGCCUGUCACCUGUCACACUGUCUCCAGGUUCACCCAGCACAGGCUGGGAGGUACAGCACGUGCGGUAACAGACCUGCAGCCUGAGUCUCGGGGCCCAGCUGGGACAGCCUGUCCCUCUGUUUGGAAAGGUUAGGGAAGAUUUCCCAGAGGGCGAGACAUUUGAGCGGAGACUUGAAGGUGAAGAAUGAGGAGGAUUUCAGCAGGCAGGGCUGGUGUGGAGCACAAAUCAGGCAGAGGAAAUUUCCAGCCCAAGAUAAAGAAAAUGUGCAAGGCGGGGAAGAGGGCGGGGGGCAGAGGAAAAAAGACCAUGACGUAGAACGAGAAAGUCAUAGAGACCCAGAAACAGGGGAAAAGUCCAGAGAGGCAGGUGCGGAGCAGAGCCAGACGGAAGGGUGGGAAAGAGCGAGACAGGACGAGGAUGUUUGGGGACACCCUGGGAAAAGCAGAGUGGAAGGCCAGUGCUUCGGGAUGAGCGGGAAGAGUGGGAAGAGGGCGGAGAUCCGGAAAUGGUAGCGUGCAGCAGGCAGGCCCAUAGGCCGCGAGGCCCCAUGACCCCAUCCAUCCUGCCGUAACUGCCACAGCUCGCUUAGGGAUGUACACUCCAGGAAGCCCCUCAACUUCCCGGGGCUCACUUUCCCCAUCCAGCAUAGGGUUAGGUCAGAUUACCUGUUGGUCUCUCCGAAUUCCAUUUAAGCCCGGAACUUCCCAAGUGUGACUGGGAGAGUGGGCAGCCCGUCCUCAGGAUGAAAGCUGGCACUCCACUCCAAACCCAUCUAGUGUCUGCUAAUGGAGUGGUAAUGGGAACCAGGAAAUGCCAGGGUCCCGGGACCCCUCGGGGUUCAGGGCUGGAGGCUAAGGUGGGAGCGGGCAGGAGGGGCAUGUCCGGGUAGGACGGGGCAGUGAGGGGAGGCAGAUCCCCUGGGUGGCCUCUUCUCCAUAACCCAAUAGGAUGUCCACAUGGUCGACGUUGUUACAAGCGUGAAGAACCGGAAGCCUCCUGAGCGCCUGUGCUCGGAGGAGUAAAUCAGAUGGUGUUUUCACUCCUGGGAUUCCCUUUCCUGGUUCUCUUCCACCUCUCCAAUAGGACUCCCUAGCUGACGGCCUCAGGACCACCCAGUAUGCUGAACAGAAUCCCUCAGAGGUGAUCAGUCGACGUUUACCAUGAUUUGACAUGUACCGGCAUGACAAUGGUGUCUUCUG